rnacentral:rRNA from 1 species
UUACCGAGUGAGGGUCUUCUGGGCCCAACCUCCCACCCAUUGUUGACUUGACCACUGUUGCCUUGGCGGGUCGCGGGGCCUCGCGCCCCCGCCGACCCUUGGCCGGAGAGCGCCCGCCAAGGUCCCCCACGCUCCAAUCGUGAUGCCGUCUGAGCAACCAGCAAAUGCAAACAAAACUUUCAACAACGGAUCUCUUGGUUCUGGCAUCGAUGAAGAACGCAGCGAAAUGCGAUAAGUAAUGUGAAUUGCAGAAUUCAGUGAAUCAUCGAAUCUUUGAACGCACAUUGCGCCCCUUGGUACUCCGAGGGGCACACCUGUCCGAGCGUCACCGUCACCCUCAAGCGUGGCUUGUUGUUGGGUCUCGCCCUCUCCCGAGAGCGGCGAACCCGAAAUGCAGCGGCGACGUGGCCUGACCCCCAGCGCAGUGACUUUCUCUCGCUCUUGGGGUUGGUGCCGCGGUGGCCUUUGUCAUAUCCACUCAGGUUUGACCUCGGAUCAGGUGGGGAUACCCGCUGAACUUAAGCAUAUCAAUAAGCGGAGGAAAAGAAACCAACCGGGAUUGCCUCAGUAACGGCGAG